CCUUAAUAAAGAAAAAAAAUCAAAAACAAAAAAAAGAAAUGGAAAUUAAGCUGGUGACCCAGAAGAUCCAUCUGCAGUACAACUAGAUGACUGGAAUGGUACUUGGUGUCACUCCUAAAUUCUAAAUAGUUCAGGAAACAACAAUCUUGGAUCUUGGGAGUAGAGAAAGGUAUGCUGAGGCUUAAAAUGCUGCAGAAAGGUUUUGACUCUAAAGACUUGGCACAUAGUAGGCCGUAACAACCAUGGGUUCCAGAAUAAAUGAAUGAGGUAUUUGCUACAAGAGACAGUCUCCUCCCCACUCAAUUUAAGCCUCUGGUCACAGUGGCUUGGUCCCGCCCAUUCACUGAUCUAACAGCUACCAGGCUCCUAUCUUGGAUCUGGACCAGUUGGAAUCACAAGCAUAGAUUCAGUUCAGGCCCUUAGGAGCACUCAGUCUGGAAGGGGAAGGUAACAGGCAGUGGCUAGGCAACAGGCCUCCCCUGGUCUGAGGCAUUAUGGGAUGCAGGUGCCUCCCAUAUUUUGGAAAGAAGAAAUACAUACACUAACAAAGGGUUGGUUUCCUUUUUCUCCUUUUAGCCUAGGCCUGCCUGGAAGACGGAACCAUAUCUUCUAGUCUCUGUUCAGCCCCUAGCACCACUUUGCUUGAUUCCCAGGAAAUCCUGUCAUACCUGAGAGCUUACUCAGGUUGUUUGCACUCCAUUGGCAUUUUAAAUUCCAGAUUGGCAAGGACCCUUGAGGUUGCCCAUCUUCCCCUUUUCCAUGGGUGGAAAACUGAUGCCCAGGCAGUAGAGUGGGGAUGCCUGAUUUCCACUCUCCUUAUAUGCUGGCUGCUAUUCUAAUUCUUUCAGUAGAUCUUUCUGUCUCCCCUGCGUAACUGAGCUGUGGAGGUCAAGAAAUGAAUUCUGUCCAUUUCUGUCUCCCUCUCACAGUAGGCAUCACAAAUAGGUUAAGGAAAUGAAGGAUCACUAAAUGUUACUGAUCCCAGAAGCAGCUAUAGCUGGGCCUCAGUUUCCCAUCAGCAGCAGAGUUUCAGGAAGCGGGGAGGUAGCCUCAAGCUCCUCAGUGCCUGCGGGGUGUGCAGUGUGUUCUUAGUGUUCUUCAGCUAGUGAAGGCCACAGCUCCUGGAGUUGGAGGACGGGAAGAGAGGUCCAUCCCGAGGGCAGGCUGCAUGCUGCAAACUCAGCCCAGUUUGCCUGUGGUGGCGACUCCCAUCUGCUUUUAGCACUUCCUCUUCUCCUGCGAGGCCUCCACCUCUUCCCCAGGGCCGUGCUCUCGGCCAGCUGCAGUGGGUAGCUUUCCUGUAUAGCUUUGAGCUCCUUCAGGGCAGGAGACUAGCACAGGCUAAGCAAGAAAAAAGGUUGAGCAGAUGAGUGAGUCAUAGAGGUGUCGAGGACCACAGUGGACUAGCCCAAAUGGAGCACCUUAAGGGUGGAAUUAGUGAUAACCUGUCCGCUCGAGUCAGAUGUUUGAUAGUAGGACCAUGAGUAUGUGCUUCUUGUCACCUGCAGCUUGAGGAACUCCAAGGGCCAACAGAGUAUAUUAUUCACCAACAUCUUCUUCCCAGAAGUUGAAUAUAUUCCUGGUGUCACACGUAGGACAGACAUAACUCUAAGGACAAAUGUCUUGUCUAGACUCAUACAGACACAGAAUGGAUGAGGCUUCAAACCCAUCCUAGAGGGGACUGCCCCUCCGGAGGCCUAGAAAGAGUCUGAGCUGGUUCACAUCUUGGCUGCUACUCCAAGCUGUGGGACCUUGAGUUCACUUCACUUGAACUGUAGUUUCCUCACCUAUGACAUGGGAGUGAUGUACCCACCCAUGGGGUUGAGGACAAGAGUGAAGGCACUGGAAGCGCCCCGUCCCGAAGGCCUUGUCGUCCAAGACCUAACUCGCUGCCUCCCAACCUGUCUGAAGAAGAAACUCGCAGAAUCGCACGGAUAUUUUCUUCCCAGUACUCCCAGAAAGACUAACGCAGCCUGAGAGACUGAAGGAAGGAGCCCCUGCCCACCGCCCUCAGCCUCGUCCAGCUUGCAGGAGUGCCAGGUCUCCUCUCUGGGCUGUCAGAGUCCUGAAACCACUAGGCUAGUUCAUGGGCACCCCGAGCCCCAGACAGCAUAGACAGUGAGAGCGUCCAAACCGGCCCCUUGUCCACCUGCAAGGACUUCGGCUUCUUCCUGAUAUAUUGAGGCAAAGACUAGAAACGGAAUGGAUUCCAGCACCCAACUGGCCCACUUGUCUUUUGAAGGGACCCACUCAGGCAUCUUUUGGCUGAGAAACUCCUCCCAAUGUCCUUGACACAGCGUACUGCUGGCAUGAGCUCACUCUCUGCCCGUGAUGGGCCAUUUCUGCCUUAAAGGUGUUGGGGGAAGGUGUAGACUGUAUGCAUUGUGCAUAAAUGAGGAAAUGCUACACCACCUUCAGUUCAUUUGCUUGGGAAUAAGGAUAUUUUAUAGAUCUAAAUUAUUUUAUGCUGUGUUGAAUUAGUAGGAGAGGAGGGGGAAAUCACCUCCUUCAAACAUUUUAUCUGAUUGUCUGAAAUUCUAACCAUGCUUUUAACUUAUUGUUUUUACCCAGCUCUGAAGGUCAUUGUUCCUGCCUGUGUUUGAAUAAAAUCAUAUUGGUAUUUGUA